rnacentral:rRNA from 1 species
UGGGGAAUAUUGCACAAUGGGGGAAACCCUGAUGCAGCAACGCCGCGUGAAGGAAGAAGGGUUUCGGCUCGUAAACUUCUAUCAAUAGGGAUGAAAAAAAGUGACAGUACCUAAAUAAGAAGCCCCGGCUAACUACGUGCCAGCAGCCGCGGUAAUACGUAGGGGGCAAGCGUUAUCCGGAAUUACUGGGUGUAAAGGGAGAGUAGGCGGCAUGGUAAGUUAGAUGUGAAAGCCUCGGGCUUAACCUGAGGAUUGCAUUUAAAAGCUAUCAGGCUAGAGUACAGGAGAGGAAAGCGGAAUUCCUAGUGUAGCGGUGAAAUGCGUAGAUAUUAGGAAGAACACCAGUGGCGAAGGCGGCUUUCUGGACUGAAACUGACGCUGAGGCUCGAAAGCGUGGGGAGCGAACAGGAUUAGAUACC